rnacentral:misc_RNA from 1 species
AAGUCGUAACAAGGUUUCCGUAGGUGAACCUGCGGAAGGAUCAUUACUGAGUUUUGAACGGGUUGUAGCUGACCUUUAAAAAAAGGUAUGUGCACGCCUGGCUCAUCCACUCUCAACCUUUGUGCACCUUUUGUAGGAGUUACAGAUGCUGGUGAAAAUCAGUUGACGUUGCUUCUAUGUUUUUAUUACACACGCUUCAGUUUUAGAAUGUAUCUCUGCGGAUAACGCAUUUAUAUACAACUUUCAGCAACGGAUCUCUUGGCUCUC